UACGGAGGGUGCGAGCGUUGUCCGGAAUCACUGGGCGUAAAGGGCGCGUAGGCGGCCUGAUAAGUAGGGGGUGAAAUCCUGCGGCUUAACCGCAGGGCUGCCUUCUAAACUGUCAGGCUGGAGCACAGUAGAGGCAGGUGGAAUUCCCGGUGUAGCGGUGGAAUGCGUAGAGAUCGGGAAGAACAUCAGUGGCGAAGGCGGCCUGCUGGGCUGUUGCUGACGCUGAGACGCGACAGCGUGGGGAGCAAACAGG
rnacentral:rRNA from 1 species